UACAGAGGGUGCAAGCGUUAAUCGGAAUUACUGGGCGUAAAGCGCACGUAGGCGGUUUUUUAAGUCAGAUGUGAAAGCCCCGGGCUCAACCUGGGAAUUGCAUUUGAAACUGGAAAACUAGAGUGUGUGAGAGGGGGGUAGAAUUCCAAGUGUAGCGGUGAAAUGCGUAGAGAUUUGGAGGAAUACCAGUGGCGAAGGCGACCACCUGGACUGAUACUGACACUGAGGUGCGAAAGCGUGGGGAGCAAACAGGAUUAGAUACCCUAGUAGU
rnacentral:rRNA from 1 species